AGCUCCAGGUGAAAAGGAAGAACUGGUCCUAAACUCUUUCCACCACAAUCUCCUGAAAAUGGUGGGUUUUAUAUGUCUAUGUUUAAUUAAAAUAAUUCGGCAGCACUUUUUCUUGCAUAUACAGGGUGUAUCAAAAAGGUCCAACAACUUUUAGCUAGUGUCCAAUGACAUUUUCUGUAGUUAGAAAGGCAAAUGACCGAAAUAUAUACAAUUAAAUUUAACAAAAAUUAAAGUUCGAAACCUCAUUUUCCACCGUUUCGGGUUGAGUGCACCAUUAUUGGAAAUAAAACCCCUACAUAUGGCAAAACGAGCUCAAAUUAUUUGGUCAUGCUAAAUGUUUCGAGCGCCGAAGGCGCGAGCCAGUUUGUGGGGUUCUGGGUCAUUCCUCGUCGGGUAAAUUUUGAAAAUUAGAAAUCAGUUUGGCCAUUGAAUUCGAUUUGGGAAUUGAAUUCUACGCUUUAAUCGAUUUGGCCAUUGAAAUCUGCGAUUUCAAUUUGGGCAUUGAAAUCUGCGCUAUCUAUCUAUCUACCUCGAGGAGGUGGACAACCUUGGCAAAUUGACCAUAUUUUAACCAAAAAUCGCGAUUGACGUCGAUUUGAUCACCAAUUUGACGAAACAUCACGCAAAGAUAAAUAGCCACUGAACCCAAAUAUAAUUCUAUUGUCGUUUUACCUUUUUAUGCCAUCGAAGACUUUUCACUAGUUAGCAAAUUUAAUUAAAUGAAAGCGAUGUAUCGUAAACUCGGCGCCACAACAAGACAUAUUUAUUGCCAGAAACCAAGAAGUAUGCAUCUUUUUAUAUUUCAGGAAUGACUAGCACUGAUGAACGCAAGUUUCGCCACUGAUCCCUUUCGGAUCUAAAAUUCACUCAAGUGUUAUUUUAGAAUAACUUGACUCAAACAGGUGUCAAUAAUAAUAUUGAACUGGGGUCAACUAAGACAACAAGGAAACAAAAAAGCUGUCAACGCAUCUUAUGCAAAUGAAUUCUCCGAAUUUAUAAAAGCCAAUAUAAAACAAUACGACUUUUUGUUCGCAUCUCACUCCAUUUAGUGAUAUAUGAAAGGAUUUUUAUAGAUAGAAAUGAUCGAGUUUACUGAUUUUGUAUACAUCUAUUAGACCUAAUCAGGGAUACCUGCAAAAAGUGCAACUGCAUAGACCUUAUUCAUAAAUCGUGAUGAGGCCUCGUAUCCUAGGAAACGGGGGAAAACGCGGGAAAAUUGACAAAAUGUUUUUUUGCUGUCGGCUAUGGCAGCUUUUUUUCGUGAAUAUUACGGCUUUUUUUCGAAAAGAGUAUCUAUAAAACUGAGCUUGAAAGUUGAAAAAAAUACUUCUGAGAAAAUAUAACAUGAUAUUUAAAGCAAAAGGUGCUGGAAUCAGUCGAAAAAGGAAACCUUUGACUUUGUAUUAUUGCCAAGUUUGUAUGGCCAAAACAAACAACCAACAAGGCUACAAAACGUCUAUACAACACCAAAGAAGAAGAUUCAAAGACGAAAAAGAUUCAAAGACGUGCAACGAGAUUCUAUCACGACAUCAACGACAUCCUAUCGCUGCCGUUUAGAUCUGAAACUAGUUACCAGGAGAGACUAUUGAAAACUGGUUUACUUCCUCUGUCUUACUGGCACGAGUACCUGGACUUGGUGUAUCUCUUUAAGGCAAUUAAAUUGAAUGACUCUCAGAUUAGUAUAGUAUCAAACGAUCGUAUCACCAGGCGCGCUACAACUAACAGUGUAACAUUAAAACUUUCCAGAGUUAACACUUUAAUUUUUCAGAGCUCCCAGAAUAUAUAACUCCCUACCACCACAUAUUCGAGAAGCAAGCGUUACUGUCGGCCAAUUCAAAUCUUACCUGUUAACUUAUUAUGAAGCAAUGACUAAAGAAAUAUAUAACAUUAAUGCUCCACAAACAUUUAAAAGUAUAUGUGUCAAGUGUCACUCGUGUCGUCCGUUGUCCAGUCUUGUGGAUAAAAUGUGUUGUAAAUAAUGUAAUGUUGUUGUUUCUUUGUUGUUUUUUUAUAUAUACAUAUAUACAUAUUAUUAGGGACCCUGUAAAUGGAGCAUUAAGCUCUGUAGGGUUAACCUGUCUUUUAUGACUAAGUUUGUAAAAAAAAAAAUAAAAAAAAAAAAUAAAAAAUCGUAAGAAAUACGAAACUAUUGUUGAAGAAAUAGGAUUACAACUCACUCAGGUAAUGUAGCCUUCAUUUUUUAAACUUGUAAACUGCUUGCAGAAUGUUAUCGAGCCACAGCCAUAUAGUUCAUAUUUUUCCGUACGAAUCAAUACCAUUUGACGAUCUCUUGUGAUUUUUGACCUGUUAUUUUCUUUCAUAUUUAUGUCAAAUUUGAAAAAUUAUACUUUCAUUCCAUAGUUGACUUGAUUUUUCACAGAAUAACCUUUAUAUUGACGUUAAAAUCUCAGUAAAAUACUGUUUUUCGCUUCUGGAUAAACACCAUCGCUAUACGUUGUCAUUUUUGCCACAAAAACGGGAGAAAAACCGGUCGCUUUUAUAAUAUACUCGUUUACCGCUUUCGUUGUGGGCAAAAAGUCUUAAAAUACACACAAAAAUCGAUAUAAAUCGCAAAAAGCAACAAGAAACAAGCCGUUGAAGUCGACACAAUAGCAUCUGAAUUUGGCUUGUCAAGCAGUUUUCGCUUGUUUUCCCGCGUUUUGUUCCCGUAUCCUAGGAUACGAGGCCUCGUCACGAUUUAUGAAUAAGGUCUAUAGGUCCUCUGGCAGGGGGGUCGGCCCUGCGAUUCAGGUGCAACACAGUAACCAACCCAGCUGCAGAGUCCACUUGUUGAGCUGUGACCACAAGUUUAUGUAUAUAUUCUAGGCAUACAAAACUUGAAAAUCCUUGAAUGUUCUUGAAUUUGGAAACAAAAAACUGAAGGCCUUGAAAGUCCUUUAGUUUCUCAGUAUAAAGAAGAGCUUGAAAGUCCUUAAUUAAAUUGUUCUUGCUUUAGUGGAUAUUUUCAGAAAUUGUUUGGCAUUAAGAGUUGGAUAUUUUGUAAAUUGAUUUUGUUCAUGUCUUACAAAUACCAAAGCUGUUUAAAAUUCAUUAAAUUAAGUUGCCGUUUGUACAGUUUAAUUAACCUCUCUUGUUUUCUGAUUUUUAACGACUUCUUUUCACCCUUUUGUCCUUGAAAGUCCUUAAAAAGUGAUAUCGAUUUUACAAGAAAGGUUUGCGAGUUUAGGUUUGAUGCUUUAGCGGCAUUUUCACUCAUGCCUGCAUGGUUCAAUAAUAAUAAACGGCUGCAUGUUUAGUACCAAACACUAUAAUGAUAUUUGGGAUUUUUAUAAAACACUGGCCUCUAUAUAAUAUAUAAUUCAUGUAACAUUCCUGGACCACACGCAUGUUGGUAUCGUCAACUACAAACAUUUUCUUUGCAUACCAUACAGAAUAUACUCAGUUAUAUUCGAACGCAGCAGAAGGAGAGACGGAACCUUAUAAAUUAUAAUUGUGAAUCGGUGGUUAGAAUUCUGAAAGACUUGAUGAGAACUUCGAUGUAAAUUUGAGAGUUAUAAAACGAUUAGUUAAGCCUUGUAUGCAACAGGUCCCAGAUUCCUUUCCUUUUUUUUUAGAUGAGCUGCCUGAAGAAGUACACCCUUUGCUGCAUUAUGGGAUCAAACUGCAACGAACGUUACCAGAAGUGCAUACAAAACGCUUAAAAUAAUGUAUAGUAAAUUAUGGAAAUAUACCUUCUCUUCAUUUCUAUGAUUAUAUUAGACUACUAAUUGAAUAUCAGUCUUCCAAGCAACCUCCUUUCCAGGGUAUUUCUUCUUGUGCAAGGUACGAGCAAAGAUAAGAAAGCCUGGGAACAAGGUUGCUUCAAAAAGACCGAAUCAAACUCACACGGUUACUGCAGAAUAUAAAAUCUUACAACACGGUACAUCGUUUUUUUAUGCACAAUAAAAUUGCGCGGUCAAAAUGAAGUUUCGCUUAUAUUCGCUGAGUCAUCCUCGUCCCCAGGUCCAAGCCCGGGUCACUAUGAGGGCCGCCCGAGCUUGAGUCUGGGGACGGGAUGUCGCUGGGUGAGUUUGUUAGCUUGUUAAUCUUUAAGUUUGUUAGCGCAUUAGUUUGUUAAGAGGGCAUUGUCUGCAAGAACGGUCCAGCGAAUUCGGACUCAAUUUUCGUUUGGCUUCAUAAUAUAUCUAUAACUUCCUUG